GUGUCUGCGGCGCGACUGUGCGGCGUGCGGCGCGGGCGCCGGCUGAUGACGCAUUCCCCGCGCCGGACAGCGCCGGUUUCCGGAAGAGGGAAGUGGCGAGGCGAGCAGGGAACCGAGUGGGGCUCUGGCGAGGCGACCCCGAGACGGUUCCAUGCCCAACGUGGGGCUCAAACUCACAACCCUGGGAUCAAGAGUCACAUGCUCUACCAACUAGCCAGCCAGGUUCCCCCUUGGGCUUUUAGAUUCAGUAAAAUACAGUAGAGAUGGAGCACUCGGAACAGUGCCUGACAUGAUUCCUAAACUGCAAGAUAGAACAUCAGAUUUCUGAUGAAUUGGAAGUGUCUCGCCCUGUGUAGAUGCUGCUAAGUGUAUGUUGCCAGAAUUAAUAAGAAUAAAAUCACCAACUUCACUGCACGGAUGGGGAAGGAAUCACGGAGAGGUGAGGGUCAUCGGGUCAUUUUAGAUCACUGCUGACCACACCUGGAUAGUCCUCAUCACUGCCAUCAAUACCACCAUCCAGCACAAGCUGUCUGUCCAGCCGAGGGAAAGACAGUCACUCCUCCCUCCAUGCAAUAGAGUCCUGGCAAACAGCCAGGAUUUGACAAAUUCAGUUUGGUUAAGCACACCAAACUGUAUUCAUCUGCUACUAUGUGUAAACACCACGUUUGAAUUAAAUUGAAAUGCCUUCAGGACUUACUGUAAAUUUUUUGUAUUUUUGUAUUAUCUUAAUCCUUCUUUACCCUUGAUCACAUGUACUAUAACCAUACUCACUCAUACAUUUGUUCCACAAGUAUUUAUUGAGUUAUUACCGCAUGCCAGGCACAGUUCAGACAUUUGUCAAUAUGUCUGCUUUAGGUUGUAAGCUUCUAGGAGGCAGGUUUCAAGUGAAAUUAAACAUAAGAAAAUGCUCUGUAGGUGACAUUAUGAUACCAAAAUUAGUCAUAUCUAUU